GUUUACAACUAAUUGAUCACAACCAG
rnacentral:piRNA from 1 species